AACGACUCUUGGCAACGGAUAUCUCGGCUCUCGCAUCGAUGAAGAACGUAGCGAAAUGCGAUACUUGGUGUGAAUUGCAGAAUCCCGUGAACCAUCGAGUCUUUGAACGCAAGUUGCGCCCAAAGCCUUCCGGCCGAGGGCACGUCUGCCUGGGCGUCACGC
rnacentral:rRNA from 1 species